CCUACGGGAGGCAGCAGUCGAGAAUCAUUCACAAUGGGGGAAACCCUGAUGGUGCGACGCCGCGUGGGGGAAUGAAGGUCUUCGGAUUGUAAACCCCUGUCAUGUGGGAGCAAAUUAAAAAGAUAGUACCACAAGAGGAAGAGACGGCUAACUCUGGGCCAGCAGCUGCGGUAAUACAGAGGUCGCAAGCGUUGUUCGGAAUCACUGGGCGUAAAGCGUGCGGAGGUGGGUGCGUAAGGCAGGUGUGAAAGGUGCGGGCUCAACCCGCGGACGGCACAUGAUACUGGGAGACUAGAGUAAUGGAGAGGGAGCCGGAAUUCGCGGUGUAGCAGUGAAAUGCGUAGAUAUCGAGAGGAACACUCGUGGCGAAGGCGGGUUCCUGGACAUUAACUGACGCUGAGGCACGAAGGCCAGGGGAGCGAAAGGGAUUAGAUACCCGUGUAGUC
rnacentral:rRNA from 1 species